GCCUCUGGUUUCUCUUCAAAUCGUACAAAUGUUUUGCCUUUUACUAAAGAUUUCGGUGGAGAGAAGCGGAGCUGACUCUGCCGUGCUUCCCCACAGAAGCGG
rnacentral:snRNA from 1 species